GGGCCUUCGGAUGAGCCGCAGCGCCUGCUUUGCAAGCAGGAUGUCAGGAGUUCGAAUCUCCUAGGCUCCA
rnacentral:tRNA from 1 species